UGACGUCGAGCGGCGAAGAAGCCAAACCUUGUAAUGCGCCUAAAGAGACCAAGAAGCUGUGGGAUUAGGUCAAAGCGCAGGUGCGCGAGAGAGAGUCGGGAGCACAUAUACGGAGAUAUACUUCCGAAAGGAUACAGCCACUUUUAGACGAGGAGGCAAAGAAAAGAAAGGGUAUCAGACGACUGCUCACUCGCCGUGAAUCUACCCUAAGAGAUUGCGUGGUAUAACUAUCGGCUACGAGACACCUUCGAACUUCCAGAUCUCUAGGGGCUGUCGGUGGUAACAGAGGGAAGAACGAGGCGGCACGAAGUUCGCGGUGAAAGAAAGUGACAUGCGUGAGUGAAGAGAGAGAGAGAAAGAGAAAAAGUUCCUUUUUAUCU